UACGUAGGGGGCUAGCGUUGUCCGGAAUCAUUGGGCGUAAAGAGCGCGUAGGCGGCUAGAUAAGUCCGGUGUGAAAGUCACAGGCUCAACCUGUGAAUGCCGCUGGAAACUGUCUGGCUAGAGUCCGGAAGGGGCGAGUGGAAUUCCUGGUGUAGCGGUGAAAUUCGUAGAUAUUGGGAAGAACACCGAUGGCGAAGGCAGCCAUCUGGACCGACACUGACGCUGAGGCGCGAAAGCGUGGGGAGCAAACAGG
rnacentral:rRNA from 1 species